rnacentral:lncRNA from 1 species
CGUUAGAGAGCUUCUACUUUAGAGUCUCAUGAAGAUCUCAAAAUCAUCAAUUCAUGAUCUUCAUGGUGGUAUAUGGCUUCUGAUCUUCUCCUGAUAUACAUGUUUUUGUGAUUUGAUUGUAAUCAUCAAGAGGUUCUUAGGGUUUAGUAUUUCGAUGGUCUUGUUUAAAUGUUAAACUUUAUUUUUAUUUAUUAAAUAUAUGUUAAAAUUUUUUAAAAUUUAUAUUCUGCUGUAUCAUCGAAACCCA